rnacentral:lncRNA from 1 species
GAUGGAUUAUAAAUUCAGGAAUUUUGCAUGCUGGAGGUAAACUAGAGGUUACUGAAGAAUCCUGAAUUAAGAGACUCAAAUCCCAGCUUAAGUUUACAUCGCAGUUUUAUGUUCUGCUUUAUAAGAUGAAAAUACCUAAUUGUCUAACCUUGGAGAAAGCCUAAAAAGAUUGUUCUCUCUGUUUUUUGAUAUUCCAUGUUUCUGUUUGUAUUCGGUUUAAUUCUGUUUGACACUUUUACAGAAUUAUAAAAAGUAGCACUAAUUUGUAUAAGUAGUGUAUUGCUCUACCUUGACGUUUAUUUGUCACCUGUAUUUGUUACAUAUUGAAUCAAUGACUUACAUUCUUCUGACCCUAACAGGAAAUGUAUGAUGUCUACCCUUUGAGAAUAUAGCCUAGGAAGAAGAGACAAAAAUGAGAGUUAACUUAAGAAUUUAUAUUCUGUACAUAUUUAUUGAGGAUGCUUAUUUGAAAUAGACUAUACAUGAAGAAAGAGAAGACUCAGAGUUGGUAAAACAUUAGAAGUAAAAGAAAUCUUGACAAAGAAAAUUACUGCUCAUUGGGCCUUGAAAAAAAAUGUAAUAUUGAGAGCAGAAUGUUAGAGGAAGUGGCAUUAUUAAAGGCCAGAGGAGGCAUGAGAAGAGCUUGUGUGGGAGAGACCACCUCAUCAGAGCAUAGAGAUGUUAUCUGGACUGAGGACAGAACAGGUUGGUGAGAUAAGAUGGGAACAGUUGAUGGAUAGAGGGACCUGGGUUCCCCACAGAGAAGUUUAUGUUGAUCCACAGGAUUCCAGAAAGUUCUUAGACUGCCAUAUUUUGAAAGCAGUGUUUUAUAAAGAGGUGUUUACACAAAGUGAUGUUCACAAUGAAAGCAGAAGUGACCCUUCAAGAUAGUCUUUAGGUAGUCAUGUCUGCUCUGUCAUCCCUGAUGUGUGGGAUGUCUGAGGAAGAACUGUCAGGACUCGAUGAAUAGAAUGUUGGCACAAUAGAAGAAAAUUAAAGCUGAGAGCCAGGUAACCCUGGCAGUGGCGUUAUCUCUAUUACACCUGGAUAAUUUGGAAGGUGGUAUUGUUUGCAUCAAAAAAUUGUGACCACAGACCUGGACUAAUUGAAUUUAUGGUGCCAGGGCUUCAAUAAGUUUGGAAUAUGGACUUUAAGGAAAAAUCAUAUUUGAGAGACUACAGAGCCGAUGCAGUUGAACAAAAUACACAUCAUAAAGGCACCACCAUGCUUUCUUAAAACAGAAUGAUCAGAGUUGUUUAGGUGUAUCUUUUACCCUAGUGAAAUCACAGUGCCAACUGGCACCUUCACUUUUUUGCAGCUUAAAAAAAAAAAAAAAGACAGCUGUUUUUUAGAAACUUUGUUCAAAUAUUUGCAAUUAUUCAAGGUCCUCCUGGGAUCCUUUGAUAUUCAAAUGAUUCUUUUUUUGAAACCUGUCAUCUGCCUUUUCUAAUUCAGGAAGGCCUGCCUCUCCUAGUUGUUACCUGUUGGUGACUUUGUUUGCAUUGGAUUCAGGAGUUCCAUAGUUCCUGUUUCACUGAAUCCUGCAUCUAUCACCAGAGAAGACUUUGCAGUUGAUUUGUGUUGUUG